GAUAAACGCUGGCGGCGCACAUAAGACAUGCAAGUCGAACGGAAGUCGUUAUAUGGAUUUUGAAAUGAACGGAGAACUUGUUCAAAGGGACUUGAUGGAGAAAUAUAACAAUGGCUUUAGUGGCGGACUGGUGAGUAAUACGUAAGCAACCUGCCUGUUAGAGGGGAACAACAGUUAGAAAUGACUGCUAAUACCGCAUAUGCCAUAAGUAUCGCAUGAUACAAGUGGGAAAGGAGUAAUCCGCUAACAGAUGGGCUUACGGCUGAUUAGCUAGUUGGUGUGGUAACGGCAUACCAAGGCGACGAUCAGUAGCCGGACUGAGAGGUUCAACGGCCACAUUGGGACUGAGAUACGGCCCAGACUCC
rnacentral:rRNA from 1 species